GGAGGGUGCAAGCGUUGUUCGGAAUUACUGGGCGUAAAGCGCGUGUAGGCGGCUUGGCAAGUCGGUUGUGAAAGCCCGGGGCUCAACCCCGGAACUGCAUCCGAAACUGCCUCGCUAGAGUCCCGGAGAGGAAGGCAGAAUUCCCAGUGUAGGGGUGAAAUCCGUAGAUAUUGGGAGGAAUACCAGUGGCGAAGGCGGCCUUCUGGACGGUGACUGACGCUCAGACGCGAAAGCGUGGGGAGCAAACAGGAUUAGAUACCCUGGUAGUCCACGCCGUAAACGUUGUGCACUAGGUGUCGGGGGUAUUCACUCCCUCCGGUGCCGCCGCCCAACGCAUUAAGUGCACCGCCUGGGGAGUACGGCCGCAAGGCUA
rnacentral:rRNA from 1 species